CACUUUCGCUUAGCCACUCAGAUCUCAAUUGAUCCGAACAGCUAGUAACCAUCGUUUACGGCGUAGACUACCAGGGUAUCUAAUCCUGUUCGCUACCUACGCUUUCGUCCAUCAGCGUCAGUGAAUUGUUAGUGAUCUGCCUUCGCAAUCGGUAUUCUGAGUAAUAUCUAUGCAUUUCACCGCUACACUACUCAUUCUAACCACUUCACAAGCACUCAAGAACAACAGUAUCAAUGGCAAUUCUACAGUUGAGCUGCAGACUUUCACCACUGACUUAUUGUCCCGCCUACGGACCCUUUAAACCCAAUGAUUCCGGAUAACGCUUGGAUCCUCCGUAUUACCGCGGCUGCUGGCACGGAGUUAGCCGAUCCUUAUUCUUACAGUACCGUCAACACCCGACACGUCGGGCUUUUUCUUCCUGUAUAAAAGCAGUUUACAACCCAUAGGGCAGUCUUCCUGCACGCGGCAUGGCUGGAUCAGGAUUGCUCCCAUUGUCCAAUAUUCCUCACUGCUGCCUCCCGUAG
rnacentral:rRNA from 1 species